GAUGAAGAACGCAGCGAAAUGCGAUAAGUAAUGUGAAUUGCAGAAUUCAGUGAAUCAUCGAAUCUUUGAACGCACCUUGCGCUCCUUGGUAUUCCGAGGAGCAUGCCUGUUUGAGUGUCAUGAAAUUAUCAACCUUUUCAGCUUUCUUUGUUGAUCAGGCUUGGAUGUGGGAGUAUGCGGGCUUCUCAGAAGUCGGCUCUCCUGAAAUGCAUUAGCGGGACCUUUGUUGCCUGGCUUUGGUGUGAUAAUUAUCUACGCCAUUGUGGUCAAGCAGCUUAAAAUGAGGUUUCAGCUUCUAACCGUCUCCCCUGAGACAACUUUUUGACAAUUUGACCUCAAAUCAGGUAGGACUACCCGCUGAACUUAAGCAUAUCAAUAAGCGGAGGA
rnacentral:misc_RNA from 1 species